GUCAGGCUGCCCUUAAAGCGGCGCGGCGCGGGGGGCGGCGCAGUGCGGGACGAUGCGGCCGAGGAUGAGCGGGGGGCAGCGAGCGGAGCGGGGCCGGGGCGAGCCGCGACCACCCGGGAAGGCAUCGAGGAGAAAGCGUGUCCUCGCCGACCACCACACCUGAGGGCAGCCGCGCCGCGCCCGCGGUGCCGAUGGCGGCCGAGGGGCUGUGGGGGCCGGGCGGCCCCCCCGGCUGGGAGCUGGACGGCUGGUACGAGGACCUGCAGGAGGUGCUGGCGGCGGAGCCCCCCGGGGCCGGCCCCGCCUGGGGGCCCGAGCAGGUGAGCGCGGGGCCGCGGUGCCCGC